UGUCUACAAGUAAUGAUAAAGUCCGGUGCUCCUCUGGGCUCAGAGAUACCGGAUGUCUUGCAUGGGAAGCAGGACGUGUCACGGCAAUGAGAACAAAGUAAAAGGCAAAGGACCUGCAGGAGGAAAACGAGGCGUACUGCCAUUCAAGAACAGGGGCAGGACGGAUAGGAAUGCAGUGGACAGAGCGCUCCCCAAAGCGGGGACAGAGUCAGGAGGAAGAAGCCGCUCAUCCUGCCGACCGCCACAGAGGGCAGCGGAAAAGGGCUCGGUGGGCUUUGUGGUUCCCAGGCUGCUCUAACACUGGGCAGAACCACGGAAUUGAACUCAGGACCUUGCGCUUGCCAGGCAGGUGCUUGUGCCACUGAGCUACAUCCCCGGCCCUGGUAUGGGAUUCUCAAAGUCACAUCUAAGUCCAAACUCGUAGCUAACCUACAUACCACCUGUCAAGUACAAACUUGAGCUUCCUCGUGGGAAGACCGAGCCUUCAGACCGAGCCCCAGGCAAACUGUAGCAGAAUGAUGACCACGGCUACAUGAUGACUACAUGAUGACCACAGCUCUGACAGCCACGUAUUGGGUUCAGCUGACCUCCCCCAGGUAGACUGGAAUGGUCGCCCUUCAAUUAUUCCCUCGUUCCUUCAGCAAAUAUCAAUUAAAAUCUUCUUCUUCUUGA